CCUACGGGAGGCAGCAGUGGGGAAUAUUGGACAAUGGGCGAAAGCCUGAUCCAGCAAUGCCGCGUGAGUGAUGAAGGCCUUAGGGUCGUAAAGCUCUUUUACCAGGGAUGAUAAUGACAGUACCUGGAGAAUAAGCUCCGGCUAACUCCGUGCCAGCAGCCGCGGUAAUACGGAGGGAGCUAGCGUUGUUCGGAAUUACUGGGCGUAAAGCGUGCGUAGGCGGUUAUUCAAGUCAGAGGUGAAAGCCCGGGGCUCAACCCCGGAACGGCCUUUGAAACUAGAUAACUAGAAUCUUGGAGAGGUCAGUGGAAUUCCGAGUGUAGAGGUGAAAUUCGUAGAUAUUCGGAAGAACACCAGUGGCGAAGGCGACUGACUGGACAAGUAUUGACGCUGAGGUACGAAAGCGUGGGGAGCAAACAGGAUUAGAUACCCUGGUAGUCCACGCCGUAAACGAUGAUAACUAGCUGUCCGGACACUUGGUGUUUGGGUGGCGCAGCUAACGCAUUAAGUUAUCCGCCUGGGGAGUACGGUCGCAAGAUUAAAACUCAAAAUGAAUUGACGG
rnacentral:rRNA from 1 species